CUGUCGUCCCCACAGCUGUGCUGUAGGGGGCGUCGUGAGGAGACCUCGUCACCUGUCGUUCCUCUGUUGAGCUGUAGGGCGCGUCGUGAGGAGACCUCGUCACCUGUCGUUCCUCUGUUGAGCUGUAGGAGGCGCCGCGCUGCAGUUUCUCCAGACAGAAGAGCCUGAGCCUUUAUUUACCUUUAGUGAGUUUUGGAUUUGUUUUUUCCUGAAGCACUUGGCGUCGUCUUCCACCAGACGGAGACCAAACCUGGAAGGAUUUUCUACGAUUGAGAAUCGACCAAAAAGCGCCGCGUGUCCUGAGGUUCUGCCACAGCGUCACUGAGGGAGGGCAUCUGGUUUAGUCUGGACACAUGUUUGUGUUUUUGCCUUGAAAUUCUGAAGUCACUUUAAAAAACCAGAAUGUUUAAAUUUACAAUUUUAUUUGAUCAAACGAAGACGAGACACGAGACGCAAGAACAUCACAAAUAUAACCAGAACAUGGAGUUAAUGCCCCAGAGUCAAAUACCCCAGAGUCAAAUACCCCAGAGUCAAAUACCCCAGAGUCAAACACCCCAGAGUCAAACACCCCAGAGUCAAAUACCCCAGAGUCAAACACCCCAGAGUCAAACACCCCAGAGUCAAAUACCCCAGAGUCAAAAACCCCAGAGUCAAAUACCCCAGAGUCAAAUACCCCCAGAG